AGAGUUUGAUCCUGGCUCAGAACGAACGCUGGCGGCAGGCUUAACACAUGCAAGUCGAACGAGUAAGAGCCGUAGCAAUACGGAGUUCUGCUAGUGGCGCACGGGUGAGUAACGCGUGGGAAUAUGCCCUUUAGUACGGAAUAACAGUUGGAAACGACUGCUAAUACCGUAUACGCCCUUCGGGGGAAAGAUUUAUCGCUAAAGGAUUAGCCCGCGUGAGAUUAGGUAGUUGGUGGGGUAAUGGCCUACCAAGCCUACGAUCUCUAGCCGGUCUGAGAGGACGAUCGGCCACACUGGAACUGAGACACGGUCCAGACUCCUACGGGAGGCAGCAGUGGGGAAUAUUGGACAAUGGGCGGAAGCCUGUUCCAGCCAUGCCGCGUGAGUGAUGAAGGCCUUAGGGUUGUAAAGCUCUUUUGUCAGGGAAGAUAUUGACGGUACCUGAAGAAUAAGCACCGGCUAACUUCGUGCCAGCAGCCGCGGUAAUACGAAGGGUGCUAGCGUUGUUCGGAAUUACUGGGCGUAAAGCGCGCGCAGGCGGUCUAUCAAGUCAGAGGUGAAAUGCCGAAGCUCAACUUCGGAACUGCCUUUGAAACUGUUAGACUAGAAUAUGGGAGGGGAUAGCGGAAUUCCUAAUGUAGAGGUGAAAUUCGUAGAUAUUAGGAGGAACACCGGUGGCGAAGGCGGCUAUCUGGCCCAUUAUUGACGCUGAGGCGCGAAAGCGUGGGGAUCAAACAGGAUUAGAUACCCUGGUAGUCCACGCUGUAAACGAUGAGUGCUAGCUGUUGGGACCUUAGGUCUCAGUGGCGCAGCUAACGCAUUAAGCACUCCGCCUGGGGAGUACGGUCGCAAGAUUAAAACUCAAAGGAAUUGACGGGGACCCGCACAAGCGGUGGAGCAUGUGGUUUAAUUCGAGGCAACGCGAAGAACCUUACCAGGACUUGACAUGUCCAGUUUGGAUUUCAGAAAUGAUUUCCUUCAGUUUGGCUGGCUGGAACACAGGUGCUGCAUGGCUGUCGUCAGCUCGUGUCGUGAGAUGUUGGGUUAAGUCCCGCAACGAGCGCAACCCUCAUCUUUAGUUGCUACCAUUUAGUUGAGCACUCUAAAGAAACUGCCGGUGAUAAGCCGGAGGAAGGUGGGGAUGACGUCAAGUCUUCAUGGCCCUUAUGUCCUGGGCUACACACGUGCUACAAUGGCAGUGACAAUGCGCCGCUACCUCGCGAGGGGAAGCUAAUCGCAAAAAGCUGUCUCAGUUCGGAUUGUACUCUGCAACUCGAGUACAUGAAGUUGGAAUCGCUAGUAAUCGCGCAUCAGCAUGGCGCGGUGAAUACGUUCCCGGGUCUUGUACACACCGCCCGUCACACCAUGGGAGUUGGUUCUACCUUAAGUUGCUGUGCUAACCGCAAGGAGGCAGGCAACCACGGUAGGGUCAGUGACUGGGGUGAAGUCGUAACAAGGUA
rnacentral:rRNA from 1 species